rnacentral:tRNA from 1 species
GAGGGUAUAGCUCAGUGGUAGAGCACACACCUAACAUGCACAAGGUCCAGAGUUCAAUCCUCAGUACCUCCA